UGGGGAAUUUUGCACAAUGGGCGCAAGCCUGAUGCAGCCAUGCCGCGUGUGUGAAGAAGGCCUUCGGGUUGUAAAGCACUUUCAGCGAGGAGGAAGGUGGUGAACUUAAUACGUUCAUCAAUUGACGUUACUCGCAGAAGAAGCACCGGCUAACUCCGUGCCAGCAGCCGCGGUAAUACGGAGGGUGCAAGCGUUAAUCGGAAUUACUGGGCGUAAAGCGCACGCAGGCGGUUUGUUAAGUCAGAUGUGAAAUCCCCGGGCUCAACCUGGGAACUGCAUUUGAAACUGGCAAGCUAGAGUCUCGUAGAGGGGGGUAGAAUUCCAGGUGUAGCGGUGAAAUGCGUAGAGAUCUGGAGGAAUACCGGUGGCGAAGGCGGCCCCCUGGACGAAGACUGACGCUCAGGUGCGAAAAGCGUGGGGAGCAAAACAGGAUUAGAUACCCUGGUAGUCCACGCUGUAAAACGAUGUCGAUUUGGAGGUUGUGCCCUUGAGGCGUGGCUUCCGGAGCUAACGCGUUAAAUCGACCGCCUGGGGAGUACGGCCGCAAGGUUAAAAACUU
rnacentral:rRNA from 1 species